rnacentral:rRNA from 1 species
UCGGGAAUUUUGGGCAAUGGGCGAAAGCCUGACCCAGCAACGCCGCGUGAAGGAUGAAGUAUUUCGGUAUGUAAACUUCGAAAGAAUAGGAAGAAUAAAUGACGGUACUAUUUAUAAGGUCCGGCUAACUACGUGCCAGCAGCCGCGGUAAUACGUAGGGACCAAGCGUUGUUCGGAUUUACUGGGCGUAAAGGGCGCGUAGGCGGCAAUUCAAGUCAUCUGUGAAAUCUCCGGGCUUAACUCGGAACGGUCAGAUGAUACUGCUUUGCUAGAGUGCAGAAGGGGCAAUCGAAAUUCUUGGUGUAGCGGUGAAAUGCGUAGAUAUCGGGAGGAACACCUGUGGCGAAGGCGGCCACCUGGUUGGAUACUGACGCUGAGACGCGAAAGCGUGGGGAGCAAACAGGAUUAGAUACCCACGUAGUCCCUGAGCGGGCUGGCAAGGC